rnacentral:tRNA from 1 species
CCUUCGAUAGCUCAGUUGGUAGAGCGGUGGACUGUAGAUGGAAACGAACUGAUAUCCAUAGGUCGCUGGUUCAAAUCCGGCUCGAAGGA